rnacentral:rRNA from 1 species
GACGAACGCUGGCGGCGUGCUUAACACAUGCAAGUCGAACGGAAAGGCCCUGCUUUUGUGGGGUGCUCGAGUGGCGAACGGGUGAGUAACACGUGAGUAACCUGCCCUUGACUUUGGGAUAACUUCAGGAAACUGGGGCUAAUACCGGAUAGGAGCUCCUGCUGCAUGGUGGGGGUUGGAAAGUUUCGGCGGUUGGGGAUGGACUCGCGGCUUAUCAGCUUGUUGGUGGGUAGUGGCUUACCAAGGCUUUGACGGGUAGCCGGCCUGAGAGGGUGACCGGCCACAUUGGGACUGAGAUACGGCCCAGACUCUUACGGGAGGCAGCAGUGGGGAAUAUUGCACAAUGGGCGGAAGCCUGAUGCAGCAACGCCGCGUGCGGGAUGACGGCCUUCGGGUUGUAAACCGCUUUCGCCUGUGACGAAGCGUGAGUGACGGUAAUGGGUAAAGAAGCACCGGCUAACUACGUG